UACGAAGGGGGCUAGCGUUGCUCGGAAUUACUGGGCGUAAAGGGUGCGUAGGCGGCUAGUUCAGUCAGAGGUGAAAGCCCAGGGCUCAACCUUGGAAUUGCCUUUGAUACUGGCUGUCUUGAGUAUGGGAGAGGUUAGCGGAACUCCGAGUGUAGAGGUGAAAUUCGUAGAUAUUCGGAAGAACACCAGUGGCGAAGGCGACACACUGGCUCACUACUGACGCUGAGGCGCGAAAGCGUGGGGAGCAAACAGG
rnacentral:rRNA from 1 species